rnacentral:rRNA from 1 species
AUUGAACGCUGGCGGCAUGCCUUACACAUGCAAGUCGAACGGCAGCGCGGACUUCGGUCUGGCGGCGAGUGGCGAACGGGUGAGUAAUACAUCGGAACGUACCCUGUUGUGGGGGAUAGCUAGUCGAAAGAUUAGCUAAUACCGCAUACGACCUGAGGGUGAAAGUGGGGGACCGCAAGGCCUCACGCAGCAGGAGCGGCCGAUGUCUGAUUAGCUAGUUGGUGGGGUAAAGGCCCACCAAGGCGACGAUCAGUAGCUGGUCUGAGAGGACGAUAAGCCACACUGGGACUGAGGCACGGCCCAGACUUCUACGGGAGGCAGCAGUGGGGAAUUUUGGACAAUGGGGGCAACCCUGAUCCAGCAAUGCCGCGUUUGUGAAGAAGGCCUUCGGGUUGUAAAGCACUUUUGUCCGGAAAGAAAUCGCGCUGGUUAAUACCUGGCGUGGAUGACGGUACCGGAAGAAUAAGCACCGGCUAACUACGUGCCAGCCGCCGCGGUAA